rnacentral:rRNA from 1 species
GUGGGGAAUUUUGGACAAUGGGCGCAAGCCUGAUCCAGCAAUGCCGCGUGCAGGAAGAAGGCCUUCGGGUUGUAAACUGCUUUUGUACGGAACGAAACGGUCCUGGUUAAUACCCGGGGAUAAUGACGGUACCGUAAGAAUAAGCACCGGCUAACUACGUGCCAGCAGCCGCGGUAAUACGUAGGGUGCAAGCGUUAAUCGGAAUUACUGGGCGUAAAGCGUGCGCAGGCGGUGCUGUAAGACAGGCGUGAAAUCCCCGGGCUUAACCUGGGAAUUGCGCUUGUGACUGCAGUGCUGGAGUGCGGCAGAGGGGGAUGGAAUUCCGCGUGUAGCAGUGAAAUGCGUAGAUAUGCGGAGGAACACCGAUGGCGAAGGCAAUCCCCUGGGCCUGCACUGACGCUCAUGCACGAAAGCGUGGGGAGCAAACAGGAUUAGAUACCCUAGUAGUCC